rnacentral:rRNA from 1 species
UUUAACUGAGCGUUCAGUUACUUGACGUAGACCCGAAACCGGGCGACCUACCCAUGAGCAGGAUGAAGCGAAAGUAAAAUUUCGUGGAGGUCCGAACCCACGAGCGUUGAAAAGCUCGGGGAUGACUUGUGGGUAGCGGUGAAAUUCCAAUCGAGCCCGGAGAUAGCUGGUUCUCCCCGAAAUAGCUUUAGGGCUAGCCUCAAGGUGAGAGAUACGGAGGUAGAGCACUGAAUGUCCUAGGGGGUAUUGCACCUACCGAAGACUAUCAAACUCCGAAUGCCGUCAUCUUAUACUUGGGAGUCAGACUGUGGGUGAUAAGAUUCAUAGUCGAAAGGGAAACAGCCCAGAUCGUCAGCUAAGGUCCCUAAAUGUAAGUUAAGUGGUAAAGGAUGUGGGAUUGUACAGACAACCAGGAUGUUGGCUUAGAAGCAGCCUCUCAUUCAAAGAGUGCGUAAUAGCUCACU